CUCGGGAUGCACCACCAGUACCACCCACGAAUGCUGCGGUAAAAAAGUCUUCGAAUAAAAAACAUCCUACUGAAACUAGUGAACAUACGGAAACUGGGUUUUGGGUAGAUCAACCUUUUAAUCAACUACAAGAUCCACCAGCACAACCACCACCACUAAAAUCAAUACUACGACGAC